rnacentral:rRNA from 1 species
UACGUAGGUGGCAAGCGUUGUCCGGAUUUACUGGGCGUAAAGAGCGCGCAGGCGGUCGUUCAAGUCGCGUGUGAAAGCCCCCGGCUCAACUGGGGAGGGUCACGCGAUACUGAUCGACUCGAAGGCAGGAGAGGGUAGUGGAAUUCCCGGUGUAGUGGUGAAAUACGUAGAUAUCGGGAGGAACACCAGUGGCGAAGGCGACUACCUGGCCUGUUCUUGACGCUGAGGCGCGAAAGCUAGGGGAGCAAACGGG